AUUGGGUAGUAGGUGUAAGAGCUGUGCUCACCUGUAAGCCAGAGGAUCGCAAACUCAAGGGUUCAGUCAGCAGACAAUGAAAGAUGUCCAUCUGUUUGAAAACAAGAGGAACAAACAGUUUGGCUAAGAAACACAGAGAGAAUCUUCCGCAGAGAAACUCCUCAAUAGCGUCAUGCGAAAGUUCUGAGUCUAAAUGUCAUUGUUUUUAUAGUACACCACAGUUGAAUGGUUUUGUCCAUCUGAAAUUACUUCUUAUCAUAGAAUUCGCCCUGCGAAGCAGUAAGGAAACCAGCACAUCCACGACUGUGAACUCAGAGUUGCCCUGAAGGGCACCUCACUACAUCCAUGACUGUGAACUCAGAGUUGUUCCGAAGGCACCCCGAUAAGCGUCUUCAUUUUGUGAUUCUAAGCGGAAGCAAAAGACCACACUAAUCUCCCCAGGUGUAUCGUGGAGAGGCGACAGGCGCCACAUCACCUGGCGAGCAUGAUGCAUUGCUGCAAGCACACGGAGGCUGUCUUAGUGAACAUGGCUGGCUGACUGGCAUGCUUUGGAAUGCUGGCAGAAAUCAGGGGAAAAGUCUUGAGAACCGCUUAGGUUGCUGUUCCCAGGAAGUGCUCUUGGAGGACCAAUGAGGUAUCAGUGUGCAAAGAAGCCUGCUACCAAGCCUGUCAACCUGAAUUUGUUCCUG